CCUACGGGCGGCUGCAGUGAGGAAUAUUGGUCAAUGGACGAGAGUCUGAACCAGCCAAGUAGCGUGAAGGAUGACUGCCCUAUGGGUUGUAAACUUCUUUUAUAUGGGAAUAAAAUGUUCCACGUGUGGGAUUUUGUAUGUACCAUAUGAAUAAGGAUCGGCUAACUCCGUGCCAGCAGCCGCGGUAAUACGGAGGAUCCGAGCGUUAUCCGGAUUUAUUGGGUUUAAAGGGAGCGUAGGUGGAUUGUUAAGUCAGUUGUGAAAGUUUGCGGCUCAACCGUAAAAUUGCAGUUGAAACUGGCAGUCUUGAGUGCAGUAGAGGUGGGCGGAAUGCGUGGUGUAGCGGUGAAAUGCUUAGAUAUCACGAAGAACUCCGAUUGCGAAGGCAGUUCACUGGACUGCAACUGACACUGAGGCUCGAAAGUGUGGGUAUCAAACAGGAUUAGAUACCCCAGUAGUC
rnacentral:rRNA from 1 species